AUUGAACGCUGGCGGCAUGCCUUACACAUGCAAGUCGAACGGCAGCACGGGUGCUUGCACCUGGUGGCGAGUGGCGAACGGGUGAGUAAUACAUCGGAACAUGUCCUGUAGUGGGGGAUAGCCCGGCGAAAGCCGGAUUAAUACCGCAUACGAUCUACGGAUGAAAGCGGGGGACCUUCGGGCCUCGCGCUAUAGGGUUGGCUGAUGGCUGAUUAGCUAGUUGGUGGGGUAAAGGCCUACCAAGGCGACGAUCAGUAGCUGGUCUGGGAGGACGACCAGCCACACUGGAACUGAGACACGGCCCAGACUCCUACGGGAGGCAGCAGUGGGGAAUUUUGGACAAUGGGCGAAAGCCUGAUCCAGCAAUGCCGCGUGUGUGAAGAAGGCCUUCGGGUUGUAAAGCACUUUUGUCCGGAAAGAAAUCCUUUGCCCUAAUACGGUCGGGGGAUGACGGUACCGGAAGAAUAAGCACCGGCUAACUACGUG
rnacentral:rRNA from 1 species